CCUAGGGGAGGCAGCAGUAGGGAAUAUUGGGCAAUGGGCGCAAGCCUGACCCAGCGACGCCGCGUGAGGGAUGAAGGCCUUCGGGUUAUAAACCUCUUUCAGUAGGGAAGAAGCGAAAGUGACGGUACCUAAAGAAGAAGCACCGGCUAACUAUGUGCCAGCAGCCGCGG
rnacentral:rRNA from 1 species